rnacentral:rRNA from 1 species
AACUACUGGAAACGGUGGCUAAUACCGCAUAACGUCGCAAGACCAAAGAGGGGGACCUUCGGGCCUCUUGCCAUCAGAUGUGCCCAGAUGGGAUUAGCUUGUUGGUGAGGUAACGGCUCACCAAGGCGACGAUCCCUAGCUGGUCUGAGAGGAUGACCAGCCACACUGGAACUGAGACACGGUCCAGACUCCUACGGGAGGCAGCAGUGGGGAAUAUUGCACAAUGG